CAGCCGCCGCGGGAAUACGUAGGUGGCGAGCGUUGUCCGGAUUUAUUGGGCGUAAAGCGUGCGCAGGCGGUUGUGUAAGACAGGUGUGAAAUCCCCGGGCUUAACCUGGGAACUGCGCUUGUGACUGCACAGCUAGAGUAUGGCAGAGGGGGGUGGAAUUCCACGUGUAGCAGUGAAAUGCGUAGAGAUGUGGAGGAACACCGAUGGCGAAGGCAGCCCCCUGGGCCAAUACUGACGCUCAUGCACGAAAGCGUGGGGAGCAAACAGGAUUAGAGACCCCCGUAGUCCCUGUCUCUUAUAC
rnacentral:rRNA from 1 species